UAAGUUUCAAGCGUAACCCAGAUGUAUCCUGAUGAGCCCUGGUGUUACGUCUCACUGUCCAUGCUGCAGGCAGGCACUUCAUUCCAACCCCAAGCUACACUCAAAUGGACUCCAAGUUCCUGAUCAUAUUGGGCUACCAAAUUAACCUUUUCUGAUUUUUUUCUUUCUAUUUUUAUCUUUCUCAUUCCCCUGCCAAAAAUCAUUAAACGGUGACUUUGGUGCUGAGUUCUGCCUAGUAAGUGCUGGUUAGGAUGAGACAUGAGACAUUCUGGUAAUGGUGAAUCAGAACUGGCAGGCUGCAGAGGGGUGAAGGAUGUUUUGUCUGUAGCAGGGAAUUAUUGCAAGAGCAAACGGGUCAUAGAUGACCACACAUGCUGCCCCUGGCACAUCCUGGGACCCACCAAAGGAGCCCAGCCCCAUGAGUGAUGGCCAAGGCAUUUCUUCCGGUGAGGACCUAGGAGAGCAGAAAAGACCCUCAGCCCAGUUUGCAGGAAAUGAAUUUUUAGAGGAGGAAAUUGUCCAAGUGAUAGGGUAAUGAAGAAGGAAACCUCUUUUUCUAGCAGCCAGGAUUUUGUUCGUGUGGGUUUUACAAGGACCAGUUAGAACUCUGCCAAAGAGAGUGCACAUUCCUGGACAACCCAGAAACGUGGACACUCUGAGUAAAAGAGCAACAAACUCCAGCAGCAGUGACAGUUGGGAGUUUGCUGGAAGACAGAGGCCCUACGCAGGGCCCAGGGGCAGGAGCUUGAGUCCUGGGGCACAGACUCAAGCUCCGGCAGGUAAGGUCACUUCUCUGAGCCUGUGUCGAUACAAAUGUGAUUGACAAUAUCACUAUUCCUGCCUCCUGGGGCUGGGAAUGUUGUAGAAACCAAGUGAGAUCAUGUAAGUGAUGCCCUUUGAAAAGUUUAAUAAGAAUGCCAGAUGUUUCCUCCCCCAUAAAAUCUUUGGUGUCUUUCUUGGUAGGCACAAAAAUUCAAUCAGGUUUAAAAGAAUGGGAUCCUGGAAAGUCAAAAUCUGAAAAAUGCUAGUUGUGGCAUGAGUGUAGAUUCUGAAGUUCUGAUCCAAACUGCAGACAAGCUCUUUUACCCUUUGCCACAUAUUAAAUAUGCUCAUCUUCACUUAUAUGUGUGUAUAUAUGUAUUAUAUAUACACACACACAUACGCACACACAUUUGGAGGGAGAGAAGGCCUUUUGGGCAUGGCCCCUGUGCAGUAACUUGGUACUGCAUAUCUGCAAAUGCAGUAAACUCUGUGUGUGCGAUAUGAAUACAUUAGACUAGGAGUUACCACAAGGACAGAGUUAGGUGCACAAACUUCAGAAUUUUAAUUUCAUACAUUAUUGCUGGACAUGUAAAUUGAUGUGAUCUUUCUAGACAGCAGUAGAUAAUUUGCAUUGAGAGCCAUAAUAAUGUUCCUGUGGAUAAACAAAACGAGGCAUAUACAUACAAGGGAAUAUUAUUCAGCCUUAAAAAAAAAACACAAGAAAUUCUGACACAUACUCUGACAUGGAUGAA